rnacentral:misc_RNA from 1 species
CCUCUUUGCCUCGUGCCUCCCCGGGGGUGCGGGGCGAACCUGGCAGCGCGCCCGUGUUCCAGUUGAGCAGACUCUUGCUGGACUGGACCACGUGCGAUCGCUCGUGCUCUCGGAUGCAGAACGUGAAGUCGGCGUUGGGGCCUCCGCCCUUUCGACCGCCUUUUCGAGCUGCUUGUGCUCGAUAAGAUUGACUUCCUCGCCCGUCUCGGCCCCCGCUGCUGGAAUUUCCGGCGACGGGGAUCGGCGGGUCGUGUUGUCGCCAAGGAAUGCUACCUGGUUGAUCCUGCCAGUAGUCA